GUGAUUGAUUUGAAGCAACUCAAGAAGAUUAAGCUUAAUAAGGGCAAGUGAAUUGUUAGCUCGUCCUAUAUAUAUAUAUAUAUAUAUAUUAUUUUAUUUUGUAGUGAUUGAUUUGAAGCAACUCAAGAAGAUUAAGCUUAAUAAGGGCAAGUGAAUUGUUAGCUCGUCCUCGGUUCAUCUUGCUCCUCUACCUACUCCCAUACAGGAUGAGAUCCUUGAUGACAACACAUCUCCUAUGAAAUCGAUCUUGGGGCUUCCUUCUCAAGUCGGUGACCAGUCAUUGGUAUUAUAUUCCCCUCCAUCUUCUCGAAGCCUCAAAAAAUGUCCUUGGCUGGUAGACAAGGAUGAGUGCAUAAAGGUCGGCAUCCCUGCCCUAAACUGUUGUCCUAAUCCCUGGCCUUACUUGGAGAAAAAGUAUAGGAUCGGUCGGUGGUUUAGACGCCUCCACUAGUCGAGGAGCUUGUUGGACUGAUUAACUUCAAGGCUGACCUAAAAGAGCUUGAGAACGUCCAUCCUUCUGAGCUCCAUGCUCUUUAAAUGUCUCUUAUCUUAUAGGCUGUGACUCUGGGUAAUGCUCAAAAGUAAUACGAGAAGCAACUGAGUGAGCAAGCUUCUCAUAAUCGCAUCAAGGUAGAGAAUUUCGAACAUAUCCUUCAGAAGUAGUCUGAAGAUUUUGCUGCCGAGAGUGCAAAUGGGAGAGCGAGCUUCAAGUUGAGAAUGCUACGACUCAGCUUAGCUCAAUCACAAUCGAGAAGAAGAAUGUCGAUCUUCGCAUCGUUGAGUUUGAGCUAGAAUAUGCCUCUCUUACUUCUAAGCUUGCCGACCAGAAUUUGGUUAGUAAGAAACUGGAAGCUGAGAAGGAGGGAUUCUACUCGGAGAUGUCGUUUCUCCUAUAUAGUUAUGAGGAGGCAGUUAAGAAAGCUGUUAGAGCUAAAUUUCCAGAUGUUGAUCUAACUUUCUUGGAGGAAUUGGAUAUUGAAGAGAUCAGCAACAAGGCCUAAGAAAGAGCUGCUGAGGAAGCUGAAAAUGCUGAAGUUGCUAAUGUAAUUCCUUCUUCGGGAGAUGAUCUUGUUGGAGAGGGCGACCUCAACGAAGCUCAGACAUAACUAAUGAGUUUGGGCUUCAACAACAGGUUGUUCUGCUGCCUAAGUUGACUCCCCAUAUAGUCCACAUGUUCAUGGUUAGAUGAAAAAGAAGCAGACAUACCUCCCGACAUACAGUUACUACUGAAAUGCGGGCCACCAUAAAACUCAUAACUUGUUGAGCUGCUUGGACAAGCAUUUGGAGUUGAUCAAUUUUCUUGGAUAAUAACUCCACUUGAGCCGCCAAGGCUAUAGUGGCAUCCAAAUGGUGUACACUCUCUUGACGUCCUAUCCUGCUCCCACUGGUAAUUGUUUAUGGCCAUCUCCUCUAUCAAGCUUUGAGCUUGCUCUGGUGUCUUGCUGCUCAAAGAACCACCUGCAGCUGCGUUUACCAUCUACUUAGUAGCUAAAUUCAAACUAUUAUAAAAAGUUUGUACCUUUAA